rnacentral:lncRNA from 1 species
UUCGAACACCCCCUUCGGGUUCUCUUGUUCGGGCCGUUCCAGAUGAGGAGCCGACUUUCUCUUUUCCCUUUGAAGUUCUUUUAGGAGGCAUCCUGAAAAAGGAAGUACACAAUAUCAAUCACUUUGUAUAGGAAUAUUUGCAGCUCUUUUCACGCCGCCACUCCAGUUCUCCAACACCGGGUGUUUUGUUGCAUCAUUCACCAUCUGUUUUACCAUGUCGGACGAUGAGCCUGUAGAUCCAAAGCAAGAACUUGAAGAGCGAAGCAAGGCACCAUGUACGAGACCACUUAAAGAAUAUCAGGCAUGUGCUAAAAGGAUCCAAGGUGAUGAAAGUGGGCACAAGCACUGUACUGGACAAUUCUUUGAUUAUUGGCAGUGCGUUGACAAAUGUGUUGCAACUAAGCUAUUUACAUAUCUUAAAUGACCGGGCAAGACCUCAAUGUUGUUCUGGCACCAGAAUACGUUUAGUCCAAAACCAAUUGGUUCAGUAUUAUUCUGUUUUUGUGAAAACUAUUUAUGCUUGUAUGCCUACUUAGAUAAAUGGCAUGUUGAACUAUGAAUUAUGAGCACUUCAUUGUGAUCAAUAAAAGAAAAAUUGUGGGAUUGAAUUUUAAAAAAAAAAAAUCACUUUGUAUAGGAAUAACGGGCAUUAAUAAUCUUUGAAUUCAUAAUCCCCCAAACUUUCUUCAACAUGCACAUGUACGUGUGCUUAUGCAAUUUUUCAAAACAUGAAUCACCAAUAUA